rnacentral:rRNA from 1 species
GGAGUUAGCCGGUGCUUCUUCUGUGAGUGAUGUCCUUCCUGCCGGCUAUUAACCCGCAGGCCUUCUUCCUCACUGAAAGUGCUUUACAACCCGAAGGCCUUCUUCACACACGCGGCAUGGCUGGAUCAGGGUUGCCCCCAUUGUCCAAUAUUCCCCACUGCUGCCUCCCGUAGGAGUCUGGGCCGUGUCUCAGUCCCAGUGUGGCUGAUCAUCCUCUCAGACCAGCUACGGAUCGUCGCCUUGGUGAGCCGUUACCUCACCAACCAGCUAAUCCGACAUAGGCUCAUCCGAUAGCGCGAGGCCCGAAGGUCCCCCGCUUUCCCCCGUAGGGCGUAUGCGGUAUUAGCCUGGGUUUCCCCAGGUUAUCCCCCACUACCGGGCAGAUUCCUAUGCCAUUACUCACCCGUCCGCCGCUCGCCACCAGGGAGCAAGCUCCCCGUGCUGCCGCUCGACUUGCAUGUGUUAGGCCUGCCGCCAGCGUUCAAUCUGAGCCAGAAUCAAACUCUGA